rnacentral:rRNA from 1 species
GACGAACGCUGGCGGCGUGCCUAAUACAUGCAAGUUGAGCGCUGAAGGUUGGUACUUGUACCAACUGGAUGAGCAGCGAACGGGUGAGUAACGCGUGGGGAAUCUGCCUUUGAGCGGGGGACAACAUUUGGAAACGAAUGCUAAUACCGCCUAAAAACUUUAAACACAAGUUUUAAGUUUGAAAGAUGCAAUUGCAUCACUCAAAGAUGAUCCCGCGUUGUAUUAGCUAGUUGGUGAGGUAAAGGCUCACCAAGGCGAUGAUACAUAGCCGACCUGAGAGGGUGAUCGGCCACAUUGGGACUGAGACACGGCCCAAACUCCUACGGGAGGCAGCAGUAGGGAAUCUUCGGCAAUGGACGAAAGUCUGACCGAGCAACGCCGCGUGAGUGAAGAAGGUUUUCGGAUCGUAAAACUCUGUUGGUAGAGAAGAACGUUGGUGAGAGUGGAAAGCUCAUCAAGUGACGGUAACUACCCAGAAAGGGACGGCUAACUACGUG